rnacentral:rRNA from 1 species
CCUACGGGGGGCAGCAGUGGGGAAUAUUGCACAAUGGGGGAAACCCUGAUGCAGCGACGCCGCGUGAGUGAAGAAGUAUCUCGGUACGUAAAGCUCUAUCAGCAGGGAAGAAAAUGACGGUACCUGACUAAGAAGCCCCGGCUAACUACGUGCCAGCAGCCGCGGUAAUACGUAGGGGGCAAGCGUUAUCCGGAUUUACUGGGUGUAAAGGGAGCGUAGACGGCAGCACAAGUCUGGAGUGAAAUCCCGGGGCCUAACCCCGGAACUGCUUUGGAAACUGUGCGGCUGGAGUGCAGGAGGGGUAAGCGGAAUUCCUAGGGUAGCGGUGAAAUGCGUAGAUAUUAGGAGGAACACCGGUGGCGAAGGCGGCUUACUGGACUGUAACUGACGUUGAGGCUCGAAAGCGUGGGGAGCAAACAGGAUUAGAUACCCCUUAGUC